UUAUUGAUGUCACCAACUUAGGUUGGCACUUCUGAAUAAAAAAUUUAAUUAUAUGUCAAUAUCAGAAAAGAAAUGUCAUAGGAUUUUUUUGGGGGUUAUAAGAGAUUAUUGAUGACACCAACUUAGGUUGGCACUUCUGAAAAAAAAAUUUAAUUACAUGUCAAUGUCAGAAAAGAAAUAUCAGGAUUCUUUUUGGGGUUAUAAGAGAUUAUUGAUGACACUAACUUAGGUUGGCACUUCUGAAUAAAAAAUUUAAUUAUAUGUCAAUGUCAGAAAAGAAAUGUCAUAGACUUUUUUUGGGGUUAUAAGGUAAGAUUUAAGAUAAAACUUGCAUCUUUAACUUCUACUUUGACAUAAUUAGUAAUACAAUUUUGAUUAUAUU